UAAAUACUCCCGAGAGACCGAUAGCGAACCAGUACUGUGAAGGAAAGGUGAAAAGAACCUCGAACAGAGGAGUGAAAUAGUCCCUGAAACCGUCUGCCUACAAGCGGUCGGAGCAUCUUCGGAUGUGACGGCGUGCCUUUUGCAUAAUGAACCUACGAGUUACUUUCUCCGGCAAGGUUAAGUACUUCAGGUACGGAGCCGAAGCGAAAGCGAGUCUGAACAGGGCAAUUUAGUCGGAGGGAGUAGACGCGAAACCAAGUGAUCUACCCUUGGUCAGGAUGAAGGUUAGGUAACACUAACUGGAGGUCCGAAUGGGUAUACGUUGAAAAGUGUUCCAAUGAACUGAGGGUAGGGGUGAAAGGCUAAUCAAACUUGGAGAUAGCUCGUACUCCCCGAAAUGCAUUUAGGUGCAGCCUGCGGUUAGUAUAGUAUGAGGUAGAGCGACUGAUUGGAUGCGAGGGCUUCACCGCCUAUCAAGUCCAGAUAAACUCCGAAUGCGUACUAUAUAUUGCCGUGGAGUGAGGGCGCGGGUGCUAAGGUCCGCGUCCGAGAGGAGAAGAAUCCAGACCAUCAGCUAAGGUCCCCAAAUAACAGUUAAGUUGAACUAACGAAGUCAGACUGCAGAGACAGCUAGGAUGUUGGCUUGGAAGCAGCCAUUCAUUUAAAGAGUGCGUAACAGCUCACUAGUCGAGGAGUCUGGCGUGGAUAAUACUCGGGCAUAAACUGUUUACCGAAGCUAUGGAUGUGGUAACACAUGGUAGGGGAGCAUUCUAUAGGCGUCGAAGGUAAGGGAUAACCCUUGCUGGAGCGUAUAGAAAAGCAAAUGUAGGUAUAAGUAACGAUAAAGGAAGUGAGAAACUUCCUCGCCGAAAGACUAAGGUUUCCUGAUCAACGUUAAUCGGAUCAGGGUAAGUCGGGACCUAAGGAUAAGCCGAACGGCGAUUCCGAUGGAAGAAUGGUUUAAUAUUCCCAUACUACUUUAUGGAGCGAUGUGGAGACGGAGAAGUGACAGUCCUGCCAUCUGACGGAAUAGGUGGUUAAAGGGUGUAGGCGUCGAUACUGGUAGGCAAAUCCGCCGGUAGAGCCGAACCUGACAGUAUGCUGCGUACUUGUACAAGGCAAUAUGGACGUAAACAGGCUCCCAAGAAAAUCCGCUAAGCAUAUUCAUAAAGUACCCGUACCGUAAACGGACACACGUAGUUGGGUUGAAAAUACUGAGGCGCUCGAGUGAUUCACGGUUAAGGAACUAGGCAAAUUGACCCUGUAACUUCGGGAUAAAGGGUCCCAGCUGAAAGGCUGGGCGCAGAGAAUAGGUCCAGGCAACUGUUUAACAAAAACACAUGGCUGUGCGAAAUAGAAAUAUGAAGUAUACAGCCUGACACCUGCCCGGUGCUGGAAGGUUAAGAGGAGGACUCAUCGCAAGAGAAGGUCUGAAUUGAAGCCCCAGUAAACGGCGGCCGUAACUAUAACGGUCCUAAGGUAGCGAAAUUCCUUGUCGGGUAAGUUCC
rnacentral:rRNA from 1 species